UACGGAGGGUGCAAGCGUUAAUCGGAAUUACUGGGCGUAAAGCGAGCGCAGGCGGUUUCUUAAGUCUGAUGUGAAAGCCCCCGGCUCAACCGGGGAGGGUCAUUGGAAACUGGGAAACUUGAGUGCAGAAGAGGAGAGUGGAAUUCCAUGUGUAGCGGUGAAAUGCGUAGAUAUAUGGAGGAACACCAGUGGCGAAGGCGGCUCUCUGGUCUGUAACUGACGCUGAGGCUCGAAAGCGUGGGGAGCAAACAGGAUUAGAUACCCUGGUAGUCCACGCCGUAAACGAUGAGUGCUAAGUGUUGGAGGGUUUCCGCCCUUCAGUGCUGCAGCUAACGCAUUAAGCACUCCGCCUGGGGAGUACGACCGCAAGGUUGAA
rnacentral:rRNA from 1 species